UGGGGAAUAUUGGACAAUGGGCGCAAGCCUGAUCCAGCAAUUCCGCGUGGGUGAAGAAGGUCUUCGGAUUAUAAAGCCCUUUCGACGGGGACGAUGAUGACGGUACCCGUAGAAGAAGCCCCGGCUAACUUCGUGCCAGCAGCCGCGGUAAUACGAAGGGGGCUAGCGUUGCUCGGAAUUACUGGGCGUAAAGGGCGCGUAGGCGGCUUAGUUAGUCAGGCGUGAAAUUCCUGGGCUCAACCUGGGAACUGCGCUUGAUACGGCUAGGCUAGAGGAUGGAAGAGGGUCGCGGAAUUCCCAGUGUAGAGGUGAAAUUCGUAGAUAUUGGGAAGAACACCGGUGGCGAAGGCGGCGACCUGGUCCAUUACUGACGCUGAGGCGCGACAGCGUGGGGAGCAAACAG
rnacentral:rRNA from 1 species